rfam:Oryctes borbonicus contig18967, whole genome shotgun sequence.
GUUACGGUUCUUUUCAGAACCACAAAAUAUAUCGAUAAAAGUUCGA